GCAAGCUCCAAAACACUCGAAACACCAAAUGGUCUACAAGACAAUAGGGUCGAUGAUUACAGGUUGGUUGGUCCAUAAACGCUAGAGAGUCAUCAUGUCCAUGUGCAUCAAUAGGUUGAGUACCUGAAAACAUUUUGCACAAAUUUGUCAAGAAAGUGGAACCAGAUCAAGUUGUUAAAAUCUCAUAUGCGUAUGCGUAUUAAAAAUGUUUGAUCAAAAGAUUAUCAUGAUAUCAUAGUUAACAAUAUAGUUUCUAUAAAAGUUAUAAUCAUCUCACAUGCUAUUAUAUAAAACUAUGUUCCAGUGCUUGUAGUUUUAUCAACAAUGAAUGCAUUGAGCAUCUUAAACAAGGAUUGUCAUGAUAUCAUAGUUAACAAUAUCGUUUCUAUGUGGUUAUUUUCACACGUUGACACACAUUUGUCUUCUACUAAUAAGAAACUAACAUUUAUUAUCAUGAAGUUAAGGAGUGUGUGAUCAUCGUAGUAAUCAUAUAAGUAUGAUGGCACCAAAUAAUCAAAAUUUAUGUAUAUCUAUUUUCCCAAAGCAUCACCCAUGGGCCAUGGUUCCCUUGGUUUAUUUGUACCAUCAAAAGGCUUCACUCUGUAUGUAUGCAAUAUUUUGGGGAAGUAAACUACAAAAUGGUAUAAUAGUUCUAUUUCUUCACCAUAAUGUUUUCUUCAAAACAGUUUGUGCCAUACUUGUUGACCCUACAAACCUCAUUAGUCCAAAAUAGCUCACAAAAAUUUACUAUGUACAACCAGAGAACAAACAUCCAGUCUAAUGGUAGAUAACAACCAAAAAACAUGAGGAGAAUAAGAAAGUAGAUCAAGCGCAGGUUUACCUUGGGUGAUGAAGGAUCCCAUGAGUGCCAUUGGCGCCGCGCUAUGCAGGGGCAUCCGCAUCUCCAGACCCACCGCCACCGACCU
rnacentral:lncRNA from 1 species